UUGCUUUAGCCCCUGCAGGUAGAUAUCGAUGGAGAGAGUUAAUCUGUUUUUCCAGCGGUGCUUUCCCGGAGUGCUGAGUUUGUACCCCAUGCUCCUGUGAGCCUUGCUCAACCCAGCCACCUCCUGCCUCCACAUGGGUUUGCAGUUGGACUAGAUGAUUGUUGUAGGUCCCUUCCAACUGAAAUUAUUCUAUUCUAUUCUGUUCUGUUCUGUUCUAUUCUGUUUUCUCGUAGCUCUCGUACACGCAGCAGGUUGUGGCUGGGGACUGCUGCUCUUCUCUUGGGGAUCGUUCCCAGAACCUCUUCAUUUCAGACUCUGCAGACUGAAUACAUGUUCUGGCAGCUAUUUGAGCACCUCCUGUUUUAGGAGGCUGGAGAUGAUGCUAACUGCUUCUCCCCAGGGAGCGUGGGUUUGAGCGGAGUGUCCUGGGGACGCAGCCUCUCCCACAGCUGUGUGGUCCCUCUCGAGGAGCAGCAUCCUGACAGCAGUGGCCUAAAAAAGAAAGGACAGAGGUUUCUCAGCUCCUGGCCCACGACCGGACUUACUCCUGCAGGAAAUGAAUCAGCUAAGCCUCAUCACCAAACGCUUCAUUGUUUUAAAAAAUCCCCGGUGCCAACAAAACCCUGCCAGACCGUCGGUCACUGCGAUGCCUUCUCAUUCUUCCUCCCGUGCCUUUGCAUUCAGCUGUUGCCUCUUGCCAUUGUAGAGCCGUGGCGAGUGGGGACGUGUCCUCCUUUUGUCUGUGCAACGCCAGGCUCCGGGAGAGGGGUCCUGCUCUUCGCCUCCGCCUUCCAAGAAUGACGGUAGCGGUGAGAAUAGCUUAGCAACAGCAAGGAAGAAGUGCUUCAAAAUAAUUCUUGGCUGCUUUGGCCAAAAGGUGAUGAUAGUCCGGGGAGAUGCUCGGGAACUGUUGUGAUAGGCAUCGUAUCAGUGCAAAGAGUGCGGCUCUGCGCUGACCUCUCUGUAACCCUAACGGCCUGGGGGGAAGAAGGCUCCCACCCAGAGCUGCUUGGAAAAUAACAGUUCGUUAAGCCCAAUAAUUUUAAGGAGAAAUUCCUAGUUUUGAUUAGUUUUUCACUGGGAAAGAUUUCAUGGCUCCCAGAUGGAAUUCCUGGAUAUUGUAAUAAGUAAUAAAUAAUAAACCGGGGUGAAUAAUCUACCUUAAAAGAGCUGGCAGCUCAAUAUUUACAGCACUUGUAGGGAUGCUGGAGGCUUUAUCCCAGCAGCUGGUCUGAGCAGGGCAAUGCCCGGGGAGAUAGUGGCUGUUCUCGGCCGCGUCUUUCUGGCGCCCUUAUUCUCUCCAUCCCUGCUGUGAUUUCCUAAAAAUCUCAGUUCUGUCCAAAAGUAGAACAGGAAUGUUUUUGAAAUCAUGAGUAUUUUUACAGGAAAUAGAAAAAUGUCCCACUCAGCUGUAGUCACAAGCUCUUUGCAGGUGGGUGCUGGGUGGCUGAGGCCAAGACCGGUUUCUUCUUCAGCAUCAAAUGUGGUGAGUCAGAGCAGAGCCAGGAGAUGUGGAGGCAGAAAGGACGUGAGAGGCGUUAAGCUUCUUUCUUAGUAGCAAAAAGCUAAAAUCAGUAUGGUAUGUAAAUUAAUAUGCCAAAAUAUUCAAGGGUCUGGAGUCUGCUGGUGAUCUCGGGGAAGGAUUAGACAGGUUUUUCAUCAGCAGCAUUUAAUUUGAGAGGUUUCCGUGUCCACGCAUCCGGCAAUGCUUGACACUUUCAAUGCCAUUUCCAUAUGAGCAGAACAUCUCAGACCUGGGUUACGGUCAGCGUCUUCUGCAGGGGCUCGGCAUCUCUGAUAGAAACAGGCUGUCACCGUCCUGCUCAAGGAGACUGAAGUCAGGAGCCUUUUGCAAAAUGAUUGUCUUUAAUGCUUCUAUUGCCCCAUCUUUAAAAUUAGCACGCUGACAUCUCCUUUCCUUGCAGAAAUCACAGCGAGAAGUAUGAACGAACCGCACCAUCAAAGAGCUGAGCAUUAAGGGAAAAAGGAAAAUCCUUCAGCAUCGCGCGACCUCUUUAAAGACCUGCAGAGGCAGAGUAAUUCUGGUGUGAGCGACUCUGGAGAUCAGAGGGAAAAUAAACAGCAGCCUUUUGCAUGAACGGCGCUGCCGACGUUGCAUCCCACAUUCUCCCGGGGUGACCUGCCGUGGAAAGAGCAGCAGAGAGAGGGUUUUGCUGCCCAGGACAGGGUACCACCACCUCGGAAUAUUUGGCCCAAGUCUGGAGUGGAUGUGGUAGCACCAUCAGUGAGAUCUACUCAAUGCUCAGCUGGACUGUAGCUCGAGAGGAGAGGUAACGCUUGACUUAGAAAGGCUGUUGUGCGUGUAUUUUGGCAGUGCUGAUCCUUCUUCACGUUACCACUGUUCUGAGAUGGUUGUGUGUACUGAGGCACUGAGUGGCUUCUAAUCCCAUGGAUGAUGAUGGAAGUGCUAAUUGGUGAAAACGCAUCUUGAGUAUCUCAAAGUAAGCACCCACGACUGAAAGCUAGUGUGUAUUCUUGUGAGUCUGGGCUCCUAAUUCUUUUUUUUCAUGGGAACUUCAUAUAUAAAAAGAAGAAAUAAUAUUUGCCCACAUCCCAGCAGGCUUCCUCGCUUUGAGCUUGGUUCGCAGAAGUUACCUGGAGACUCUGCAGAAAGCUUCCCCUUGACAGCGAAGUAAAAGGCACAUUUUUAAGGCAGCUGAAUGGAGAGCUGCAGUCACAAUUAGCGCUCUACAGUUUCCAGCCAUGUAACUAUUUGUGAUAGUUAAAAUAUUUUCCUCUUCCCAUCUGGGUGAAAUCCUAGCUUCAAAGCUUUGGGGUUUUUUAGCUCUAAACAAGAGAUCCCAAAAUAGCCUCCUGGUCAGAGCAUUUACACGGACAGUAAGCUCUUGCUCCACUCUGCCUAUUUCUAAAUGCAGAGCUGAACCCAGACUCUCUGGUGCCGCGGAGCUGCCGGGACACCGGACUACUGGCCGCUCGGGAAGAUGUAUUUUUUUUUUUUUCCCCACUCUGUCAAACUGUUCUGGAUGAGCCUUUUGCUGGAGCUGGGUACCGCUUUCAGGAAAUGUGUUGGUUUUUAUUGAACCCCUGCUUUCUCAAAUUUCCCAAGCAGUUCUAGCUGCAAACGCAGCCAAAAACGGAAAAAAAAAAAUCUUUUAUUUUAACAAGUAAGCCUUUUU